GAUGAACGCUGGCGGCGUGCCUAAUACAUGCAAGUUGAGCGAGGAGGGUUGACGGUAGCCCUCGGUUGAAAGGCAUUGAACGGGGGGGUGAAGGGUGGGGAAACUGCCUUGGAGCGGGGGACAACAUGUGGAAAAGAAUGCGAAAACGACAUAACAACUUGCAAAAUAAGAUAGAAGUUUGAAAGAUGCAAUUGAAUCACUCAAAGAUGAUAGCGCGUUGUAUUAGCUAGUUGGUGAGGUAAAGGCUCACCAAGGAGAUGAUCCAUAGCCGACCUGAGAGGGUGAUCGGCCACAUUGGGACUAAGACACGGCCCAAACUCCUACGGGAGGCAGCAGGAGGGAAUCUUCGGCAAAGGACGAAAGUCUGACCGAUCAACGCCGCGGGAGAGAAGAAUGUUUUCGGAACGUAAAACUCUGUUGGUAGAGAAGAACGUUGGUGAGAGUGGAAAGCUCAUAAAGUGACGGUAACUACCCAGAAAGGGACGGCUAACUACGUG
rnacentral:rRNA from 1 species